GCCGCAGCACACUCUCUAAUCGAGCUGUAACACUCGCCACUGCCGUCCACGGCUUCAUUCCUUGAAGCCGUGAGACCACGAACCCUUCGAUUGAGAAGAACCUUCGGUCGGAAGAAGACUUCUCGUCUCAGUAACAAUAACAAGAAAAACAGCCUAGACUAGACGCACAUCAGGAAGACAGGUACCCAGCAUAACCCCAUUGAAGAGCUGUUCCCUGGGACCUGGAGAGGAACACAGCAGGCUGCCAUGCCCACUGCACCUGCAGCCGCAGAAUAAACAUGUGGAGAAGGUCAUUGAUCACCUUGACUGAAGCACUGCAGACAAGAUAAAGACAGCCUGAUGCAGAGGAAGAUUGAGGACUAAGGGGCUUCAUCCACAGUUAAUCCCGUCAUGUAUUGACCCGGAAACAUCAUCUCAUUUGCCUAUAAGACAGAGAGAGAGAAUGAUAGAA
rnacentral:lncRNA from 1 species